rnacentral:lncRNA from 1 species
GCAAGAGUUUUGAAGUCAGUUGUAUGUAAUAGAUAGAAUGUGGACAUGAUAAAAUGUAAAGUUAUGAAUAGUUAUGUAAUGUAAUGAUAUUGAGGAUUAGAGGUUGUGCUUGACCUAUGUGUAAUGUAUCCCUUUUAAUGCAUGAUCCUAGAUCUUUUAUGAUGUUUAUGUAAACCAGCUCAAAACAUGUUGUAAUUGCCCAUUGGGGCAUUGAUGAGAUCCCACAGAGGGAUCGAUGUUUAUGAUUAUGUCUAUGUUCAGUGCAUGCACAGGUUGAGUUUGGUUGAUGUAUUUGGAAAGAAAAGUUUUAAUUUUUAUGUAUGAUUGUUGAUCAUGUAUGGGAUUAAACAGGUUUACAG